CCAGACUCCUACGGGAGGCAGCAGUGGGGAAUAUUGCACAAUGGGCGGAAGCCUGAUGCAGCAACGCCGCGUGCGGGAUGACGGCCUUCGGGUUGUAAACCGCUUUCGCCUGUGACGAAGCGUGAGUGACGGUAAUGGGUAAAGAAGCACCGGCUAACUACGUGCCAGCAGCCGCGGUGAUACGUAGGGUGCGAGCGUUGUCCGGAUUUAUUGGGCGUAAAGGGCUCGUAGGUGGUUGAUCGCGUCGGAAGUGUAAUCUUGGGGCUUAACCCUGAGCGUGCUUUCGAUACGGGUUGACUUGAGGAAGGUAGGGGAGAAUGGAAUUCCUGGUGGAGCGGUGGAAUGCGCAGAUAUCAGGAGGAACACCAGUGGCGAAGGCGGUUCUCUGGGCCUUUCCUGACGCUGAGGAGCGAAAGCGUGGGGAGCGAACAGGCUUAGAUACCCUGGUAGUCCACGCUGUAAACGGUGGGUACUAGGUGUGGGGUCCAUUCCACGGGUUCCGUGCCGUAGCUAACGCUUUAAGUACCCCGCCUGGGGAGUACGGCCGCAAGGCUAAAACUCAAAGGAAUUGACGGGGGCCCGCACAAGAGGGC
rnacentral:rRNA from 1 species